rnacentral:rRNA from 1 species
UUACCAGACUCCUACGGGAGGCAGCAGUGAGGAAUAUUGGUCAAUGGCCGAGAGGCUGAACCAGCCAAGUCGCGUGAGGGAUGACGGCCCUACGGGUUGUAAACCUCUUUUGCCGGGGAGCAAAGAGCGGGACGCGUCCCGCCUCGAGAGUACCCGGAGAAAAAGCAUCGGCUAACUCCGUGCCAGCAGCCGCGGUAAUACGGAGGAUGCGAGCGUUAUCCGGAUUUAUUGGGUUUAAAGGGUGCGCAGGCGGCACGGCAAGCCGGCGGUCAAAUCGCGGGGCUCAACCCCGCCCAGCCGUCGGAACUGCCGGGCUAGAGUGGGCGAGAAGUGCGCGGAAUGCGUGGUGUAGCGGUGAAAUGCAUAGAUAUCGCGCAGAACUCCGAUUGCGAAGGCAGCAUGCCGGCUCCACACUGACGCUGAGGCACGAAAGCGUGGGUAUCGAACAGGAUUAGAUACCCUAGUA